ACGGAGGAUCCGAGCGUUAUCCGGAUUUAUUGGGUUUAAAGGGUGCGUAGGCGGCCUUUUAAGUCAGCGGUGAAAGUCUGUGGCUCAACCAUAGAAUUGCCGUUGAAACUGGGGGGCUUGAGUAUGUUUGAGGCAGGCGGAAUGCGUGGUGUAGCGGUGAAAUGCAUAGAUAUCACGCAGAACCCCGAUUGCGAAGGCAGCCUGCCAAGCCAUUACUGACGCUGAUGCACGAAAGCGUGGGGAUCAAACAG
rnacentral:rRNA from 1 species